CCUCCUCCUCCUUCACCUUCUUCUUCAAUGAAUAUUUACUCUGCUGGAAGGACUGCUACAGAGCUGUCUAUGGAGAUUUCUCAUAAGAUCUGUCAUUUUCCUUGUGAAGGCCUGGAAAAUACAUUAAUCAUCCAGCUCUUUCUUCUUAUGCCCUUCACAUCUCACCUGUAUUAAUUCCUGCCACUAAUGGAAAACCAGAGUGGAGGCAAAAUAAAAGUCAAGGUCUGUGACUUC